UACGUAGGGGGCUAGCGUUGUCCGGAAUCAUUGGGCGUAAGCGCGUGUAGGCGGUCCGGUAAGUCCGCUGUGAAAGUCGGGGGCUCAACCCUCGGAUGCCGGUGGAUACUGUCGGGCUUGAGUACGGAAGAGGCGAGUGGAAUUCCUGGUGUAGCGGUGAAAUGCGCAGAUAUCAGGAGGAACACCAGCGGCGAAGGCGGCGCUCUGGGCCGGAACUGACGCUGAGGAGCGAAAGCGUGGGAGCAAACAGG
rnacentral:rRNA from 1 species